UACGUAGGGGGCAAGCGUUGUCCGGAAUCAUUGGGCGUAAAGCGCGUGUAGGCGGCUCGGUAAGUCCGCUCUGAAAGUCCAGGGCUCAACCCUGGGAUGCGGGUGGAUACUGCCGGGCUCGAGUCCGGAAGAGGCGAGUGGAAUUCCCGGUGUAGCGGUGAAAUGCGCAGAUAUCGGGAGGAACACCAAUGGCGAAGGCAGCUCGCUGGGACGGUAUUGACGCUGAGACGCGAAAGCGUGGGGAGCAAACAGG
rnacentral:rRNA from 1 species